GCAAUAAUAGCUUAAAAUAGAGCAUUGGUCUUGUAAGUCAAAGGUGGAUAAAAUCAUCCUUAUUGCU
rnacentral:tRNA from 1 species